GCCGCGCGCGCAAUGACACACCGACAGUCGCGCGCGCAGUAUUCACCGCGCAUGCGUCAAGAUGCGAGCCCUUUUGCUGUUCUCUCUCCUCACUAUCCUGUACCUCGCUGCUGCAGCACCAGCGAAGUCUAAACUACAGACUGGAACCAAUGAUGCAGACGGCCAGCCUUUCGUAGAAGAGGUGGUGGUGGAAUCAGUUCUGCACGUGCGAUCACCAUCCAGCCGACAAGCGCGCACUAACACACAGACAAGCCUGCAAGAUGGCGCGCGUGUCGCUGAGGCUAAGAUAUAUCAUUAGAACUUUAUGUUGUGUUAGGAUAAGUGCAAUAUUAUAUUAUAAUUAUGGUACAAUGUAGGUUUAUGUUGUCUUUAUUUUAUUUACGUAACGUAACGAGUUCUACUUUUUAACCUUUUAAAUGAUUCACUUGACACAAGUUACAGCUUUUGAAACAAGCGCCAUCUGUUGGUGGUUAUAGGAAUAUGAAUGGCGAAAUAUAAAAUGUAAUAUUGAAUUUAUUGUGUAGUAAUUGCUUGUAAGCGAUUAAUCAUGAUUUAAUUUUAAAAAAGCAGCCAUGACACGAAUAAUAAUAUGUAAGAAUGUAGAUAAACCAUAGAGCAAUGAAGAACCUAGCUUUGACAUUGUUGCUUUAAUACUAUAUUUGCAUACUAAUUACGUACGCAUAAUUACAUUAUUACGAGACUGUCAUAGGCCCUUAACCGGUUUGCACUUGUGUUUAUUGAAAACUCCUAAGAUUAUUAUGUCCAGUUUUGUAAGAUUGUAACAGCGUUUACUUUAUAAACAGCUCUAGCAAGAUACCUACUCAAACACUCAUCAAGUACCUAGGUACCUAACUUCAUUUUUUCUUGGUCUUUUUCCAAAUAGUAAAUACGUUUCUACCACCUAUUAUCCUCAUGCAAGACGAGCCUCUCUCGGUUUCCAGUAUUACCAGACGCAACUACUUAGUCACAUGUUGUCUUCCAUUCAGGUAGUAGGUACACCCACAUUACUAGUUACAGCUAAGUACUGUCUUUGUUACGAUACCAGUUAUUAGAUAAUACCAUAACGCAUUAUAUGGUUGCAUGUCUUUUAUGGGUUGUCCCAGAGUUUCAGAUCAUAAUUAGAAACUAAACUUCAGUGAUGAAUAGAUAGUAAUACCGGCCUCCAAAGGUCUAUUAGAUACAAAAACAUGACUUGUCUUUGGGGGAUCAGAUAGAAUCAUCCAUGUUCUACAAACCCUUCGGAUUUCUAUGGCAUAACAAUAUGUAACAUAUAAUUCUAAAACCAUACUUUAGUAAGCAUAAUAUUUACAUACGAGUACCUAAUACUAUUUAGAGACACAUCCGGCGCACAGCCUCGGCAUAUAUAUGUACUUCAUUAUCACCAGAUGUACGUAAACAAAAGUGAUGAAUGCUUUAAAAUUGUAUAUGUAAUACGUAUUUUCUGUAAAUAGUGUCAUAGAUCCUACUAAAUGUUUGGGUGGAAACUUUUGAUUGCUA